UGGGGAAUUUUGGACAAUGGGCGAAAGCCUGAUCCAGCAAUGCCGCGUGUGUGAAGAAGGCCUUCGGGUUGUAAAGCACUUUUGUCCGGAAAGAAAUCCUUGGCUCUAAUACAGUCGGGGGAUGACGGUACCGGAAGAAUAAGCACCGGCUAACUACGUGCCAGCAGCCGCGGUAAUACGUAGGGUGCAAGCGUUAAUCGGAAUUACUGGGCGUAAAGCGUGCGCAGGCGGUUUGCUAAGACCGAUGUGAAAUCCCCGGGCUCAACCUGGGAACUGCAUUGGUGACUGGCAGGCUAGAGUAUGGCAGAGGGGGGUAGAAUUCCACGUGUAGCAGUGAAAUGCGUAGAGAUGUGGAGGAAUACCGAUGGCGAAGGCAGCCCCUGGGCCAAUACUGACGCUCAUGCACGAAAGCGUGGGGAGCAAACAGGAUUAGAUACCCUGGUAGUCCACGCCCUAAACGAUGUCAACUAGUUGUUGGGGAUUCAUUUCCUUAGUAACGUAGCUAACGCGUGAAGUUGACCGCCUGGGGAGUACGGUCGCAAGAUUAAAACUUAAAU
rnacentral:rRNA from 1 species